UUUUGUUUAAUUGAUUUCUUUUUUAACUCUAAAGUUUCAAUGUUUGACAAUUUAAGUCUAAAGUUUUGAUCAUUGGUAUUUUAACCCCCUUUGAUUAAUUCGAUUUUUCAUUUCUAAUUCAAAAGUUUUCAUCUUUUGCGGAUUUUUCACUUCUAAUUCAAAAGUUUUCAUAUUUUGCAAUUUAACCCCUUUAAUUUUUUUCACCUUCAAUCCAAAGCUUUUUAUCGUUUGCAAUUUAAUCUCAACAUUUUUUUUUACUUUUAACUGUCUCUUACAUAUUUUUCAUCUUUCAUAAGUUCUCCGUUUAACGUGUCGUUCUAAAUUUCCGACUUAACACGCCGCAACGUGCGUGUGGGGUUCAACGUUUUUCAUCUAUUUUUUUUCCUGUUUGACAUGUCCGUCGCAACGCGUCUAUUUUUCCCCGUUUUAUAGGUCUAUCACAACGUGCGAGUCAGAGAUCGAUUUAGUUAUUUUUUCCUGGGUUUUACACACAGUUUCAAUGUUUGGCAAUUUAAGUCUAAAACUCGUGGUCAUGUGAGAAACAUUUGUCUUUCAUCUAACAUGAU
rnacentral:lncRNA from 1 species